GCUUCUCAGGCUCUUGUUCCCUAGCAUCAGCAGCAGAAUCGGCGGUGAUGGCAUCCUGCUGGCCAAAGCCGGCGCUCUGCGGGAAGAGCUCCAUGGUCUCCUUCUUCCUCUCCGCCUCCCCGGGCAGCAAGCUCAUCGUCGCCGGCGCCGCCCUCGGAGCCUCACCCUCACCUCUGAUGCCGAGGCCGAGCUCGGCGGCGGCGGCGCCGUUCUGGCGGACGUAGCGGCUGAGCAGGCUGCACGCCAUGGCGAAGCUCGUCGCCCUCUCCCCGCCGACGCCGACGGGC
rnacentral:misc_RNA from 1 species